rnacentral:rRNA from 1 species
UACGUAGGUGGCAAGCGUUGUCCGGAAUUAUUGGGCGUAAAGCGCGCGCAGGUGGUUCCUUAAGUCUGAUGUGAAAGCUCACGGCUCAACCGUGGAGGGUCAUUGGAAACCGGGGAACUUGAGUGCAGAAGAGGAAAGUGGAAUUCCACGUGUAGCGGUGAAAUGCGUAGAGAUGUGGAGGAACACCAGUGGCGAAGGCAGCCCCCUGGGCCAACACUGACGCUCAGGCACGAAAGCGUGGGGAGCAAACAGG